GAUGAACGCUGGCGGCGUGCCUAAUACAUGCAAGUCGAGCGAACGGACGAGAAGCUUGCUUCUCUGAUGCUAGCGGCGGACGGGUGAGUAACACGUGGAUAACCUACCUAUAAGACUGGGAUAACUUCGGGAAACCGGAGCUAAUACCGGAUAAUAUUUUGAACCGCAUGGUUCAAAAGUGAAAGACGGUCUUGCUGUCACUUAUAGAUGGAUCCGCGCUGCAUUAGCUAGUUGGUAAGGUAACGGCUUACCAAGGCAACGAUGCAUAGCCGACCUGAGAGGAUGAUCGGCCACACUGGAACUGAGACACGGUCCAGACUCCUACGGGAGGCAGCAGUAGGGAAUCUUCCGCAAUGGGCGAAAGCCUGACGGAGCAACGCCGCGUGAGUGAUGAAGGUCUUCGGAUCGUAAAACUCUGUUAUUAGGGAAGAACAUAUGUGUAAGUAACUGUGCACAUCUUGACGGUACCUAAUCAGAAAGCCACGGCUAACUACGUG
rnacentral:rRNA from 1 species